GGCACAGUGGCUUGAAUGUUGGACUACAACUCUAAAGACCAUGGUUCGAUUCCCAGCUGAGCCA